UUCCGUAGGUGAACCUGCGGAGGGAUCAUUACCGAGUUGGCGCAAGCCAAUCUCCCUUUCUUGAUGUAUGACCGGUUGCCUUGCCUUCGGGCAGCAUUAUUCUGAUACUAGUUGUCUGAGUAUACUUUAAUAAAUCAAAACUUUCAACAACGGAUCUCUUGGUUCUGGCAUCGAUGAAGAACGCAGCGAAAUGCGAUACGUAAUGUGAAUUGCAGACACCGUGAAUCAUCGAAUCUUUGAACGCACAUUGCGCCCUUUGGUAUUCCGAAGGGCAUGCCUGUUCGAGCGUCAUUACACCUUCUACAAAGGUUUUGGGGAUGGCACAGCCGCCCUUAAAAAGCUUGGUGGUAACUGGAACCCACGCACAGUAAUCUCUGCGAAGGCGACCAGGUAAACACCGAAAACUCUUCUGUUUGACCUCGGAUCAGGUAGGGAUACCCGCUGAACUUAAGCAUAUCAAUAAGCGGAGGAAAA
rnacentral:rRNA from 1 species